rnacentral:tRNA from 1 species
AGCAGCCUGGUAGCUCGUCGGGCUCAUAACCCGAAGGUCGUCGGUUCGAAUCCGGCCCCCGCAA